AUGACUUCUAGAAUCUUGCUACUGGAGAUGCAGAUGAUCCUACUGAAUCCAAAUCUGCAUUUUACCAGGAUCCCAGGUGGCAGUUUUGGAGAAAUAAGACUCAGGAGCCAGAAGCUGCUACUGAACAAAGAGGUUUAUGUUUUGAGGGAGUGGAAGUCAUGCCAUGACCUCUAUGUCAGCUUGUGCUGGCAAUGGAUUGCCCAUUCACCAGGAGAUGGACUUCCCAAGGCAGAGGCAUGCACAAGGAGACCUUCUUUCCCUCUGCAAAGGAGGAAGCUUGACGCCUGAGGGAGUUCUUGAUUCCAUGACUGGCUUAUUGAGAAUUUAUUGGACAAGUUGCACACACAGAUUAUCUUACAGAAUUCUAAGGGAUUUGCUGGCAGAAACUUCUAUCUAAAGGUCAAAAGGAGAAAAUGUCUCAGUUUCUAGAAAAGUCCAUGGUUAAUAUUAGCAAACCAAACAAUGAGUUGGGAAAACAGUUUUCUUUUUUUUCUUUCUUUUUUUUUUUUUUCCUAUGAGGUUCACAAGGGAAGGGACAAGGACGGCCUCACUCACCUUGGCAUCUCCAUCAUAUAGCACAGGGACACAAACAGUAGUCACCCACUCAGUAAUGUCUACUGCAUGUAAGAAAGUUGCUUUUCACUCUCCUGGGAUAUUUCUGGCCCUAUACACAGGGUAAAAGGACUGGUCUAUUGGCUGUUGAAAGGAUAGAUAAGCAUCACAAAUCUGAUUAUCUGCUCCUUGCACUCUCAGAGAAGCCAUGCUGUUGAAUGGCAAAUAAUGCAGUCUUAGAGUUCUGUCUGAGUUCACUGGCCACCAAACCAGGGGAAGAGGAGAAAGGGGCCCAAUUGGCUCCUGGCAUUUAGGACUCUUCUACACAAAGUGUGAAAACUUCCCAUGAGGUCCUGCUCCUUUAGAAGAGGGUGCAUAGUCUUAUAUCUGCCCAGAAAUCUCAGAAGUUUUAGAAACAAAAUCUGUAGGAACUGGUUGACCCCACACGUUGCCCUAUCCACUUUCAAUGGUAAAUAGGAGGUCCUGUAUUCAAGAUUGGGAGAAAUAGAAAGUUUAAACUUUUCCAAAGUGUAGAGCUAGUUUUGAUUCCAUAAGUUGCCCUUUACUCUUCAAAAUAGUUUAUCCUAGUUUUAAUCUACUUAUAACUAGAGUUAAAAUAUGCUUUGGGUAUUAGAAGAUAUCUAAACUUUGAGCUUUUGAUUUCCAUUUAAAUGUUUGCUUCUCCCAAAAAUGAAUAAACAAACAGAAAAAUGUUUGCUUCCA
rnacentral:lncRNA from 12 species